rnacentral:rRNA from 1 species
UACGGAGGGUGCGAGCGUUGUCCGGAAUCAUUGGGCGUAAAGGGCGCGUAGGUGGCCCGGUCAGUUCGUGGUGAAAGCGCGGGGCUCAACCCUGCGUCGGCCAUGAAUACUGCCGCGGCUGGAGCACUGUAGAGGCAGGCGGAAUUCCAGGUGUAGCGGUGAAAUGCGUAGAUAUCUGGAGGAACACCGGUGGCGAAGGCGGCGUUUCUGGACUGUAACUGACACUGAUGAACGAAAGCCAGGGGAGCAAACGGG